rnacentral:rRNA from 1 species
AUUGAACGCUGGCGGCAGGCCUAACACAUGCAAGUCGAACGCGUGGCGGACGGGUGAGUAAUGUCUGGGAAACUGCCUGGUGGGGGGGGAUAACUACUGGAAACGAUAGCAAAUACCGCAUUCCCUCAGAUGUGCCCAGAUGGGUUUAGCUUGUUGGGGGGGUAACGGCUCACCAAGGCGACGAUCCCUAGCUGGUCUGAGAGGAGGACCAGCCACACUGGAACUGAGACACGGUCCAGACGCCGACGGGAGGCAGCAGUGGGGAAUAUUGCACAAUGGGCGCAAGCCUGAUGCAGCCAUGCCGCGUGUAUGAAGAAGGCCUUCGGGUUGUAAAGUACUUUCAGCGGGGAGGCGUUACCCGCAGAAGAAGCACCGGCUAACUCCGUGCCAGCAGCCGCGGUAAUAC